rnacentral:rRNA from 1 species
UACGUAGGGUGCGAGCGUUAAUCGGAAUUACUGGGCGUUAAAGCGUGCGCAGGCGGUUUUGUAAGCCAGAUGUGAAAUCCCCGGGCUCAACCCGGGAACUGCGUCCGAUACUGGAAGGCUUGAAUCCGGGAGAGGGAUGCGGAAUUCCAGGUGUAGCGGUGGAAUGCGCAGAUAUCAGGAAGAACACCGGUGGCGAAGGCGGUUCUCUGGGCAUUACCUGACGCUGAGGAGCGAAAGUGUGGGGAGCGAACAGG